rnacentral:rRNA from 1 species
CAAAGGUGAGCCAGUACAGGAUGGACCCGCGUCUGAUUAGCUAGUUGGUAAGGUAACGGCUUACCAAGGCGACGAUCAGUAGCCGACCUGAGAGGGUGAUCGGCCACAUUGGAAAUGAGACACGGUCCAAACUCCUACGGGAGGCAGCAGUGGGGAAUAUUGCACAAUGGGCGAAAGCCUGAUGCAGCAACGCCGCGUGAGUGAUGAAGGCCUUCGGGUCGUAAAACUCUGUCCUCAAGGAAGAUAAUGACGGUACUUGAGGAGGAAGCCCCGGCUAACUACGUGCCAGCAGCCGCGGUAAUACGUAGGGGGCUAGCGUUAUCCGGAUUUACUGGGCGUAAAGGGUGCGUAGGCGGUCUUUCAAGUCAGGAGUGAAAGGCUACGGCUCAACCGUAGUAAGCUCUUGAAACUGGGAGACCUGAGUGCAGGAGAGGAGAGUGGAAUUCCUAGUGUAGCGGUGAAAUGCGUAGAUAUUAGGAGGAACACCAGUUGCGAAGGCGGCUCUCUGGACUGUAACUGAGGCUGAGGCACGAAAGCGUGGGGAGCAAACAGGAUUAGAUACCCUGGUAGUCCACGCUGUAAACGAUGAGUACUAGGUGUCGGGGGUUACCCCCUUCG